rnacentral:rRNA from 1 species
AGUUGAACGCUGGCGGCAGGCCUAACACAUGCAAGUCGAGCGGAAACGAGUUAUCUGAACCUUCGGGGAACGAUAACGGCGUCGAGCGGCGGACGGGUGAGUAAUGCCUAGGAAAUUGCCCUGAUGUGGGGGAUAACCAUUGGAAACGAUGGCUAAUACCGCAUGAUGCCUACGGGCCAAAGAGGGGGACCUUCCGGCSUCUCGCGUCAGGAUCAUGCCUAGGUAGGAUUAGCUAGUUGGUSWGGUAAUGGGCUCACCAAGGCGACGAUCCCUAGCUGGUCUGAGCAGAUGAUCAGCCACACUGGAGACWGAGRCRCGGUCYAGACUCCUACGGRAGGCAGCAGUGGGGAAUAUUGCACAAUGGGCGCAAGCCUGAUGCAGCCAWGCCGCGUGUAUGAAGAAGGCCUUCGGGUUGUAAAGUACUWUCAGUCGUGAGGAAGGCGUUGUCGUUAAUAGCGGCAUCGUUUGACGUUAGCGACAGAAGAAGCACCGGCUAACUCCGUGCCAGCAGCCGCGGUAAUACGGAGGGU